GGCGGCGUAGCUCAGAGGCAGAGCAAGCGGUUCAUACCCGCUGUGUCAGUGGUUCAAAUCCACUCGCCGCUACCC
rnacentral:tRNA from 1 species